CCUACGGGUGGCAGCAGUAAGGAAUAUUGGUCAAUGGACGAAAGUCUGAACCAGCCAUCCCGCGUGCAGGAUGAAAGCCCUAUGGGUUGUAAACUGCUUUUAGCAGAGAAGAAAAGCUUUCAUUAAUGAGAGUCUGACGGUAUCUGCAGAAUAAGCACCGGCUAACUCCGUGCCAGCAGCCGCGGUAAUACGGAGGGUGCGGGCGUUAUCGGGAAUAAAGGGGUUGUAGGGGGAGGUUUAAGUCGUAUGUGAAAUCUUGUCGCUUAACGAUAAAAUUGCCAAUGAUACUGGUACUCUUGAAUUGGGUUGAGGUUAGCGGAAUGUGACAUGUAGCGGUGGAAUGCAUAGAUAUGUCAUGGAACACCAAUUGCGAAGGCAGCUAACUGGGCCUUGAUUGACGCUGAGGCACGAAAGCGUGGGUAGCGAACAGGAUUAGAUACCCCUGUAGUC
rnacentral:rRNA from 1 species